rnacentral:piRNA from 1 species
AGAAGGACUAGAUCACCUACUUGGUAAC